CCUACGGGUGGCAGCAGUGGGGAAUAUUGCACAAUGGGGGGAACCCUGAUGCAGCGACGCCGCGUGGGUGAAGGAGUAUUUCGGUAUGUAAAGCUCUAUCAGCAGGGAAGAACAAUGACGGUACCUGACUAAGAAGCCCCGGCUAACUACGUGCCAGCAGCCGCGGUAAUACGUAGGGUGCAAGCGUUAUCCGGAUUUACUGGGUGUAAAGGGAGCGUAGACGGCGCUGUAAGUCUGAAGUGAAAGCCCACGGCUCAACCCCGGGACUGCAUUGGAAACUGUGGCGCUAGAGUGCUGGAGAGGUAAGUGGAAUUCCUAGUGUAGCGGUGAAAUGCGUAGAUAUUAGGAGGAACACCAGUGGCGAAGGCGGCCUACUGGACAGUGACUGACGCUGAGGCUCGAAAGCAUGGGGAGCAAACAGGAUUAGAUACCCGUGUAGUC
rnacentral:rRNA from 1 species